rnacentral:hammerhead_ribozyme from 2 species
UCACACCAUUACCUACAGCUGAUGAGCUCCAUAAAGAGCAAAACCAGUUAGGUCUAGUAGUACUGGCCUAAGAAAGA